rnacentral:tRNA from 1 species
UGCGGAAUAGUGUAAUGGUAACACAAAGGUCUCAUAAUCCUUAACUAUUGGUUCGACUCCAGUUUCCGCUACAA